UUUUCCCCCCUCUUUUUUCCGGGGAAUGAAGUGAAACUACAGCUCAAUGUUUAAAGACUACAAAACUAGCUACUGGCGUCACUGUUCGGUUUGAUCGUCGAUCACUGAUUAGUCAUCGAUCAUCGGAACAUAUUUCUGUCAACCCGUCAGGAUGUCAGCUGUGAAGAUGACAGAGGGGAGUGUGGAGCUCGUCCUGGGGUGCUGCAAAGUGCCGCUCUUCUACAGACAGAGUGAACCUGCCACGGGGGAAGCGAGGACGUCAGUUUUACUCCUUCACGGGAUCCGUUUCUCAUCAGAAAACUGGCUCAACAUCGGCACUCUGGAGACUCUGGCCAAAGCUGGCUGCCGCGCUGUCGCCAUAGAUCUGCCAGGACUCGGCCGGUCUAAGUCAGCUGAGGCCCCGGUGGCAGUGGGAGAACUGGCCCCUGCAAGUUUCCUGAAGGAUGUGUGUGAGCAGCUGAGCCUGAGCCCGGUGGUGCUGAUCAGCCCAUCCCUCAGUGGGAUGUACUCCCUCCCCUUCCUCAUGCAGCACCCGGCUCUAAUACAAGCCUACGUCCCUGUAGCUCCCAUCUGCACAGAGAAAUUCACAGCAGAGCAGUACCAGAGCGUAAAGGUUCCCUCGCUCAUCGUCUAUGGCGACCAGGACGCUCAGCUCGGUGAGACGUCGCUCCGGAACCUGAGCAGUCUGGCCAAUCACAGCGUGGUGGUGAUGAAAGGGGCGGGUCAUCCCUGUUACCUGGACGACCCAGACACUUGGCACAAAGCUCUCACAGACUUCCUUAACGCACUCUGAAGCUCACAUCAGUCACAGAGAAAUCAUAGUCAUUCCAUCAUCAACAACGAAAACGCUACACAGCAAAAAGUUUCAUCUGUACAAAAGAAUGGAGCGACAUGGACCAGUGCCCAGAAAAGAAGGAGUGAAAUCUUCCACACACACACACACACACACGACAUUCACACUCGCAUACAUACACGAUAAAACAAACCAAAAAAAAUAAAUGAAAAACAUUUCAACUUCAGAUCUCAAACUUAUCAACAGCGCAGUUUUUUUUUGUACUUAUACUUAAUAUUGGACUGAUUUCACUCUUUUUUUCCUCCUCUAAACGUUAUUUUUUUGUCCCCACACUUGUCAAACAUGGUCACAUCACCAGACUACAGACUACAGAAUCACAUACACACGUGUCUUUCCCACAGAGAUGCACCGACACAGAUGCAGCGAGAGUCAGGAGGGGGACUGAGUUUAAAGUGGUCUCUCCCUUUCAUCCCCAAGCUGGACCAAUUUUCUGUUUUUAUUUUUUUUUUUGUGUGGCAAAAGUAAAUUUGUCAAACCACAGAAAUCAUACAUGUCCCUUCCGUCAGGAUGCAAACACACACACACACACACAGACGUCACUACGUGAUUCCUCCGUGCCCUCCGGGCCCAUGCUGCUCUGUGGAGACCCACUCCCUGAGCUUGCCUCCGACAUCCUGCCCACUCUCAAGAAAAAAAAACAACAAAGCAACAAAAAGAAUCACACACCAGGGAAGUGACAUCCUCGCUUUACUUCCGCCCCGGUGCUCGACAUCUCCCGCAUGGGCAAUGAAUAAGUGUCGGUAAGCGUUUACUUGUACAUAUGUGUGCAUAAUGUCUCGGUGCAUGUGCACAAACUGUAGGCCCACGUAUUCAUGUCUAUGUGUGAGACUGUAUGUGUACAGAGCCAGGAGAAGAGAGAGAGUAAGUUGCAGGGGGUACAUUUCCACAGGCACGUGUAGCGUUAAUUUACAGAUAGUGGAAAUAGGGCAAUACAGACAGAAUUAAUGGCACAGGAACGGAGACAAACAGAUGCCAGAAAAGUAGAACUGCAUCGGGCGUCACGUGACUUGAAUUUGAAAAUACAUAUGUUUAAUUUUCAAAUAUUUUUUUUUUAACAGUCAUUUUCAUACUUUUUUCUCUUUUUUCCUCUUUUAUUAAAGUCUGAUUUAUUCAGAGCCGCGCCGCAGUGAACUGUGCCAGCAUUUUUGUCACAUCAAAGAGUACCAACAACCGUACAGAGUGUGCAAGUUAAAGUUCAAAUCAUCGUGUGAAUCUUCCCACCUGAGUAAUACAGUGAGGUUUGGGUGGGUGUGCACAUUGAAGGUCGGAUGUGGGUUUAUUUUGUUUUUUUUUUGUUUGUUUUUUUUUUGUACUUUUUAAAAACUCCCACCUGCUUUCAAGCGUUUAAUCGUCGAACAAGCAUCAGUCAAUAUAGCGAAUCAUUCCAAGACGUGAAAAUACAAAACUAGAGCUCACUAUACUUAACUGCAGAACACAGAGAAAACCCAGAGGAGGGAGUGUUUUGGAGGAUCUAUUUGUGUGUGUGUGCACGCGUGUGAGAAAACCUGUGUAUGGGAG